GAUGAACGCUGGCGGCGUGCCUAAUACAUGCAAGUCGAGCGAAUGGACGAGAAGCUUGCUUCUCUGAUGUUAGCGGCGGACGGGUGAGUAACACGUGGAUAACCUACCUAUAAGACUGGGAUAACUUCGGGAAACCGUAGCUAAUACCGGAUAAUAUUUUGAACCGCAUGGUUCAAAAGUGAAAGACGGUCUUGCUGUCACUUAUAGAUGGAUCCGCGCUGCAUUAGCUAGUUGGUAAGGUAACGGCUUACCAAGGCAACGAUGCAUAGCCGACCUGAGAGGGUGAUCGGCCACACUGGAACUGAGACACGGUCCAGACGCCUACGGGAGGCAGCAGUAGGGAAUCUUCCGCAAUGGGCGAAAGCCUUACGGAGCAACGCCGCGUGAGUGAUGAAGGUCUUCGGAUCGUAAAACUCUGUUAUUAGGGAAGAACAUAUGUGUAAGUAACUGUGCACAUCUUGACGGUACCUAAUCAGAAAGCCACGGCUAACUACGUG
rnacentral:rRNA from 1 species